AACAGGCUUGCCGGUGAAGCUGCUAAUCAAGUCUCCUGGAGGAAGAAGUUAGACUGUUUAGCCCAAUCCCAGAUAUCCCUAAGGUGGUAUUAAGACCCCAAUUUUCUAAAGAGGAGGAGGAAGAACUGGGCAAGAUAGGAGCCACUCAUACUGAGGAUGGAAGGUCACCACUUCCAGCCUGGCGACUUGGUGCUAAUUAAGACUUGGAAGGAAGACAAUCUCCACCCAAGCUGGGAAGGUUCCUAUCAAGUGCUCGUGAUCACUGAGACAGCCGUAGGAACAGCUGAACGGGGUGGACACUCACACUCGGGUCAAGAGACUGGUAAAAGAAACCCCAGAAGGAAGGGAAAAAGAGGAGAAGCCAGUUGCCAUAUUGUGAGGAUGCUCAAGCAACCUUAUGAAGAGGUCUACAUGGUGAAGAACUAAGGCCUACUAUCAAAAACAAACACUAAUUUGCCAGACAUAUAAUCAGCUUCUGAUAACUGUAGAGAAAAGUAUGGGCAGAAAGGAGAAAGUAAGCCAAGAGGGGAGCUGGAAGUCAGGACCUACUGCCUUGGAAAGCCAUCGUGCUGUGAGGACUCUUCAUCAUUCCUCAAGGUACUUCUGCUUCCUUCCCUUACCUCCCACUACCUCCUAGGCACUCCACUGAACCUGCCCACCUCCACUCCUGCCAUCUCUGCCCACCUCUACUCCAAGCAUCUGGGCAUCCACACUCAGUUCACGUCAGAUCUGGGUGUAAUGAGUUUGAAGUCAGUUUUCAAAGUUGUAUUAAUAGAAUCUUUCUUUGGCCACCCAGGUUUUGGAGAAUUUGGUCAUCCUUCCACUUUAUGGACUGUGAAUUAUCUUGUGACCAAUGAUUUCCUCUUCUUCCCACCUAGGUGUUACUUCACUUACCAACAAUUCCCCAAUUCCCCAAAGUGGAAGGAAGGAGACAAACUUGUACCUUUGACUCAUUUUUCAGAAACUAUGGUGUAAAGGUCUCUGGGAAACUGGGUGAAACUAAAGGGCCAUAUGAUAUUGUUUUCAUUUAUUUUUAUUUUUUAACCUGGAAAAUGUGAAAUGUGUAGAUGCAAUGCCAUAUGAUGUUGAGGAAUUAUUUGUUUUAAAUUAUCUUUCCUCCUUUAUGUCCUGGGCAAAUAUUAAUUAGUUGGUUAUUUGUAACCAUCAGAAAGGAUCCUACUGAUGGCAUGACUCCUUUGCCAAACUUCUUAUCAAAAAUAAGGACUCUGGAACGUUAUGAAAAUAAGAGGUCUAUGGCCAUACCACCCUGAAAACACGCAAUCUUGUCUGAUCUUGGAAGCUAAGCAGGGUUGUGCCUGGUUAGUAUUUGGGUGGGCUAUAGGCUUCUGGCAUCCCAUUC
rnacentral:lncRNA from 1 species